UACGGGAGGCAGCAGUGGGGAAUCUUGCGCAAUGGCCUAACGGCUGACGCAGCGACGCCGCGUGUGGGAUGAAGCUCUUCGGAGUGUAAACCACUGUUGCCCGGGACGAAUAGCUCGAUUAAUCGAGCCUGACGGUACCGGGUGAGGAAGCACCGGCUAACUCCGUGCCAGCAGCCGCGGUAAUACGGGGGGUGCGAGCGUUGUCCGGAAUCACUGGGCGUAAAGGGCGCGUAGGUGGUUYGAUAAGGGUGUGGUGAAAGCCCGGAGCUCAACUCCGGGUCUGCCGUGCCGACUGUCAAACUCGAGGACYGUAGAGGCAGACGGAAUUCCGGGUGUAGCGGUGGAAUGCGUAGAGAUCCGGAGGAAGACCGGUGGCGAAGGCGGUCUGCUGGGCAGUUUCUGACACUGAGGCGCGACAGCGUGGGGAGCAAA
rnacentral:rRNA from 1 species